UCAGCACAGCAAAACAAAUCAAUUAGUCCAGUCACUGUUCUGCAUAGGCCUGCCUGGCUUCCUUGUGAACAUUCACAGUCCCAAUGGGAUCUCUCUCAUGUGAAGCAAGGCUCUAACCUGGAACAGCAGUUUUCUCUGGUUUCUCCUCCGGAUCCUUAGCUGACACUCCACUCCAGAGAUUAAAAAAGCUGUGUGCAUUCUUUCUCCCCGCAUCCUCAGCUGAUGCUCCACUCUAGAGAUUAUCAAAAAUUUUGUGUGUGCAGGCCUCUGCCUGCCUCCUUCUCAGGGUUACACCCACAGUGUUCCUCUGGCAAAUUUUGCAACCCUUGCCUGCUGGGCCGCUCGGCCGCUCGUCUCUCUGCUGCUAGCAGGAAACUGACCCCCUUCUGCCCCUCUCCAGUGCUGGAAAUACCUCUGAGCAUCUUCCCUCCUCCGAUCUUGAGUGAGAUGCUGCUCUGGAAGUGUGAGUUGGGCUGGCGGAGUGCCUGCCCGCUGCACCUUGCCAUCUGAGGACACCUCCUGCAGCUACACAUCAUCACUGAUAGCUGACAUCUGUGAUCAUGCAGAGCCACCAGCCAGCCAUACCCAGCCAUUUGGCACCAGAAACAAUAGCCAGAUCCAUUUAAAGAAGAUACAUCCACUGUGAGUGCAUGCCUUUAUUGUGGGUACCCACCCAAUAUAAGCUGACAGCUUCAGGGUUACAUUAAAUGACCUUGUUGUUGCCUGUGCCAGAAUUGUGAGUGGCUCAAAUGGCAGUCUGGUAUGUUUGAAAAGGCGGAGUAGCGAUGGAGUGUUACAAUUGCAAGUUUCCUGCUCCUUGAAAUGAGGCAGGAAAGGGGGUACUGAGAAGAGCCUGGAGAGACAGGAGCGUGAAGUAGUUACCUUCCUCACAGUGGGGAGCUGCCAUGAUGAGAAGGACCAGCCCAAAAGAGCCUUCAAGUGAUGCUGCAGUCUACUUCUUCCUAACAUCAGGAGACAGACCAAUUAAAAUGCUGCUGUUGCUGCUGCAAGCUUGGUCUCAGGAGCUUCUUGGGAGAAGAUGGCUAAGCCCCUUCCUGCCUCUAACUACUGCUAGCUCCUGGCUUGUUCUCAAAGCUUUUAAAGCCUACUGCCCAGCAUGCCACCAAGCUGCAGUCAGGAGACAGCCUGCAGAGGGAGCCUGCAUUUCCCAUGGGCCUCUCCCCAACCAUCACUACUGGAGUCUAAGGGUGCCUUGCCUGCCCCAGAUGCCUUGGCAGGCCACGCUGCUUUCACCUCCACUUUCACAUGAAGCACACCCGAGUGGCUGAGCUGGAUGACUACUACCACCACUGCUGCUGUUGUUGCUGCUGUUGUUCUGCUGCUGCUCACUCUCAGGAGAGAGGGAAAUUCCCUGCUCCACCACCUUGCACCACCCGACACAACACCUGCACUGGAUUACUUCCUAUCUGACUGACUGCUCCUGCCCUCUUCCACAGCUGCCUCACUGCAUCUGAUCCUGCUUUGUUUUCCUGCCUAUUGCUCCACUGCUGAGUGCCUGGCUGGAGGCCUGAGGGGCUUCUGGACUGAUCUUCACCAAACAAAGCCCCUCCACCACUCCAGCCAUCUUUUACAUCUGCCUCAGCAGCCUUCCCUCUAUGCUUUUGUCCUUGUGUGGUGUUCCCCCUCUCCCACAUUCCGCAAGUAUUACCUUCCCGGUUUUCUUCCUGUGGGUGUGUAGCUCAGUGAGAUUCAUCCCCCUUUCCACAAUCCCAGCCUGCCCCUAUUAGAUUCACCAGCCCCACUGUAUAUUUUGGUUUUCUUUAUUGUUUCCCCCUCCAUCAUGUGAAGCAAUUUUAAAGCAGGAUCCAUUGGGGGGGGGGGGGAGAUGCCUCCACAGAGCUUCGUGCAGCCCCCACUAUGGGGACAAAUUUUAGCUAAGCCCCCAAGGAGAUGCAUGCCCCUGCAGCCCCCACCCUGGAGGCAGAGUCCAACCAACCUCCUCCAAGGGUAGAGAAGCCUGCACCCUCUGCUGCAGGGGCAGGCAGGACUCCAGCAGGGAGUCAAGAGGGCCAGGGGGUCUCCCCUGGCCAACCUGCCCCGGAGGGGUUCCCAACCACCCUCUCCCAUCAUCAGAAACCAAGGGCAACAGCAGCGGGAAUGGCUUCUCUUCAGCCUCCUCCACAGAUGUGGGUGGGAAAGGCAAGGGCCCCACCCCCCAAGCCUAGACCACUGGUGCCUGAGGGGAUCAGGUGCACUACACCAGCCAGCACACCCACUCAGCCUGUCCCUGGCCCCAUCAAUGUGGCCCCCCAGUGGGGUAACUGAAGCUAUAUACAGAUGGCUGCAGGGUGACCUGAAGCUGUGUGGCCUGGACCCUCCACCGCCGGCCCUUCCAGCUCGGAUACCAGGGCCCCCUUUCCAGCACUCACCCGCAGGCAUGAGGUGAAGUGCCAACUACCCAAGUGGGAGAAUCUGCACUUUGAGACCUGGAUGCAAGCCCUAGCUUGUGUAGUGGGGGGCCCCAAAACCAUGGCAGCCUCCCACUUUCAUGGCAAGGGGGACUUUCUCCUUGCCUUGGAGGCUGCUGCACAAAAGGCGGUGGAGAGGGGGCUCAUCGUGGAGGGUGAGUACACCCCCCUCAAGUCCCUAGAAGAGCUGGGGACUAGGGUGGUCUUCAGCUCCUUUGCUCCCUAUAUCUCUAAUUGGGCACUCGUCCUCCAGCUUCAAACCCUGGGGAGAGUUAUCUCCCCAGUGGUGGCCCUCCUUGCUGGGGUGCUGAGACUUAGGUUUCCGUCACGUGCACUGUUUCUGCUGCCAGGUUAUGAUCCAUAUGGUGGUGGGAACGUGGCUGGAGAUUGAAGGGUGCCUCCUGAUUCUUUUUCAAGGGGCCCUGGUGAGGGUGUCCUAUAUACUGAAGGACCUGCAGUGUUUCUGGUGCUGUACCCCAGGGCACUUGUGACACAAGUGCCCCAUGGGCCAGGAGAAGAGGGCAUCUGCAGGUACCACUGAUUAGAGGGGUGCCCCUGAUGCUGGUACCCCUCCCCUUUCAGGCCCCCCUGGCAUUCCAGCCACAUUAUCCAGCCCUCCCUGUGAGCUCAGGAGACCCAACCGCCAAACCAAGUUUGGUGGAGUCCCAGGGAAGACAGAAGCAGCCCCCAGUCAUGGCCUGCUGCAUCUGUCCCACCCCCCAACCCUCACCUUCUCCUACUGGAGCCUGUCCACCUGAGGAACACCCAUGGUUGAGUGUGUGCAGGUCCCCUCUGGGUGCAAAGCCAAGAGGAAGGCUCGGGUGCAGCUAGAGCCCUGUGAUGUGGAGGACUUCUCCUCGCAUCCCAAGACCAACACAUGAGGAGAAGGAGCAGUCAAGCUCCCAGGGGCCUCUGUGGCUGCGUCUGACAAUCCCUCCAUGGAAAAACCAAAUGGAUGAUCCCCAUGGAGGAGGUUUUGGGACUGCUGGACAGUUCCAAACAGGAUCCCAUGGAGGAAACCCCUCACUCUGCUGGCCAGGUCCUACCCCUGAGACCAUGGGUGCCAAGGCUGAGGCCUCAGCCUACCCAAAGGAAAGUCUGGCACUGGAGCCCCCCACAAUGAUCUGGGGGUGACAGGGUCCCUGGGGCUCACCCCAGUGAAUCCUGAGGAGGGAGGUCCCCUUUUCCAGGACCCUGAGGUGGGCACUGAAGCCACCCUGAUGGAUUUCUUCCAUCCCCCUCCCAGAAAAACUUCACUUCCAGCCUGCCCAAGGUGCUGCACCAGAGUCAGCUGGGAUGGGAUCCCCUAAUCAACAGGCUGAUCUUGUCAAGGACCCUGCACAGACCCCACCAGGCUCCAGCUCUGCCCUACUAUCUUGUGAAGGAGCCCCACUCCCACCCUUAAUCCCACCUCUGUCCCAAGGGGCUACAGAGCUCUGCCAAUCCCAACUGGAGUCCAGGGUUUUAGCAGACUGGGAGGUUCAAAUGGUGCCUAAGGAGCCCAUUGAGUUCCAGAACCAGGAGAAGGACACCCAAUAACCAGCAGGUUCCACGGAUCCUGCAGAGCUCUUGGUGUCAGUGGCCCCCAGGGGUAAGCUACUUGCAUUUCUUGACCGCAACUACACACGGCAGUCUGCCAGCAAGGUAUAGCUUGCCUCAGACAGCCGGGGAGAUUUUUGAAAGCAUCCUUGCCACUGCAAGGGCACUGGUCAGGGAACACAAGGGGCCCAAAAGGUACAAUGCCUGUAUCUAUAGGUGGACCUGCAGUUUCACAGAUGCCCUCUAUGCUUACAGGAAGGUGCUGUGUGAGGCAGAGAACUCCACACCUGGUGUUGAAAUGCAUGAGGCCCUUGCUGAACUGUCUACUCCACCCUGCCAGCCAUUAAGUCAUUUAAGAUCAUGACCCUAAAUGUCCAUGGCUGCAGAAAGGGUCUAUGGAGAUGCUGGAUGCACUCCUUCCUUCAGGAAGUAGGGUACCAUGUAAUAUUUUUGCAGUAGACCCUGACAAGUAUGGCUGAUGAACCAUCUGUUGCACCUCUGGUUCCAAGAGCAGGGGCUGGUCCUGAACCUUCUCAAUCUGUAUGCCCCUGCAAGGGACCCGGAGUUGGUGGAAUUUUCCACCAGGCGGCCACUUAUAUUGGCAUCCUCAACCCUCGUGAGUGCCUGGUCCUUGGCGGGGACAUAAAUGUCACCCCAGACACGCAAUACCAGUCGGGCAGGGAGUGGAACCAGGCUGCCAUGCAUGAACUUGAGAAAAUCUUGAUGGGAUCUGCUGGAGUGCAGGCUUUCUGGUCUACUUGGGGGUCUACCUGUCCCCCACAGACCCCUUCCUACCAGAGAACUGGUACCAUCUGGAGCAGCUCUGGGCAUGGAUAGGGCUCCUGAAGUGUCUCUCCCUGAGUGGGAGAGUGAUGGUGCUGAACCAGAUGGUCCUGUCCAUGCUCUGGCACCAUUUACACACCCUGCCUAUGCCCUCUGAGGUCCUGGCAGGGUUCUGAAGCAGCUCUAAGAAUUCCCUGCACCCUUUACCCACUGUCGCAGUCUGGCAGUGUGAGCUGCUGCCUGGCUCUGACUUGCUGUGCACCUGCCAGACACAGAUGGGGACUUCACAGCCAGUAGAGGCAUCCACCCUUUUGGGCCAUCUGCCAGUGGACUAUUGCUGUGGAGUUCGCCUUCCUAUGGCACUACUUUCAUGUGUGCCCACGUCCGGCCAUCUGGGUAGCUAUCACCUGGAAGAUGUUACCAGUGUCGUGGCCUGCUUUGAACUGUCAAAGCAUGUCCUCCUGGCCCCAGUUGACCAGGAGGUCUGCUACCAGAUUUGCCCAUCCCUUUGGCAUGUGCUCACUUAUUAGGGGUACAUUUCUGGGGUCUAUGCAAUUUUAUCAAUGUGCUGCUUGUGUUACUUGUGUUUAUGUAGAGAGCUGUAUCUCUCCCUUCUGCAAGUCCUCACCCUAAAUGAAGCUAUCUUGGAGGACUCAGUUUCAAUGGGGCUGGGUUCCUCCAACCACCGAAUCAGUCAAACACAUAUACAUACAGAUUAACAGGACAUACCUGAGCCAGGCUGGGUCAUUUAGCAUUAACAGGUUAACACCCUCAUAUGCCUUGAACUCAGUUCAUCAGGGAAACAAUAGAAUGAAUUCAGACACAAGCACACGGGUUAACAGAGCGCAUCUGAGUCAAGCCAGACUAUUCAGUAUUGACACGCUGACACCCUCAUGUGCCUUGAACUCAGUUCAUCCCUUAUUUCAUCAGGACAGUAAUAAAUGCAGUUAGACACACAUACACACACAUUAACAGAGUACACUUGAGCAGGCUGGAUCCAAUCAGCACUUUCAGCUGAUAACCUCAUGCAUCUCAAAACUCAGCACAUCCUAAUCUCUUGUCACAAUGGUCCUAGUAGUAACUCCCUUGAUAAGCAGACCCCACCGUAGUUUUUGGCAUAACAGGGAUAUUUGGCUUAGGUAAAAGAAGCAUUGCUGCAGAGCAAAUGGGGAGGUCAAGGGGAAGGAAGAAUAAGGUUCAGAGAGAGAGUAUAGGAACCUGCUUAACCAUAAAAGUUAUUUAUUGCCAGGUGUGAUGAUACCAAUAGUAAUAGCCAUACAAGAGAGACAAAUAAAACAGUUAUAAUAUUCCAUAGUUUCAAUUAGGUAUUUGGAGAAAUAUAGCUCAAGUUUGAUUAGCAAAAGUCGGGUUUAGAAAACUGUGCCUGGAGUAAGAGAAUAAAAGUCAGGUUUCUGGAAUCAGAGAGAGAGAGAGAGAGAGAGAGUGAUCAGCAAAAGUCUGGUUUAGAAAUAUGUGCAAGAGAGUAAAAGUUUGGUUCCUGGCGUCAGAGAGAGAGGGAGAGGGAGAGAGAGUGAGAAAGAGCUGGGGUCUCACCACUUAGUGAAGCUGGAAGCAGACGAGGUGCCCAGGUGUUUGUUGAAGCCUGCAGACAGGCAGAGUUCUGAGCAUGAUCAAUGGAGGGAUUCUAGGCAGAAAAGGAGUAGAACUGGCGCAGCUUUUGUAUGCAAGCACCAGGACAGAAACUUGAGUUUGGGUAGGGGCUUUUGUAGAGAAUUACCAAUGGCUCAAGGGUGAACACUAGGUUUGCUUAUGGGUAAACAAUGGCUCAUAUGCUGGAUAAUAGGAACUGGUCACUCCUGGGUAUGCGUGGCAUUACUCUGAGGGAGUUCACAAUACAGACAGGCAGAUUCAGUGUUUUGGGUACCAAUAAAGGAGUCAUUACUAGAA